rnacentral:rRNA from 1 species
AUUGGACGCUGGCGGCAUGCUUUACACAUGCAAGUCGAACGGUAACAGGUUAAGCUGACGAGUGGCGAACGGGUGAGUAAUGCAUCGGAACGUGCCCGGUCGUGGGGGAUAACGCAGCGAAAGCUGCGCUAAUACCGCAUACGAUCUGAGGAUGAAAGCGGGGGACCGUAAGGCCUCGCGCGAUCGGAGCGGCCGAUGUCAGAUUAGGUAGUUGGUGGGGUAAAGGCUCACCAAGCCGACGAUCUGUAGCUGGUCUGAGAGGACGACCAGCCACACUGGGACUGGGACACGGCCCAGACUCCUACGGGAGGCAGCAGUGGGGAAUUUUGGACAAUGGGCGCAAGCCUGAUCCAGCAAUGCCGCGUGCAGGAAGAAGGCCUUCGGGUUGUAAACUGCUUUUGUACGGAGCGAAAAGGCUCUCUCUAAUACAGGGGGCUCAUGACGGUACCGUAAGAAUAAGCACCGGCUAACUACGUGCCAGCCGCCGCGGUAA